rnacentral:snRNA from 1 species
GUGCUUGCUUCGGCAGCACAUAUACUAAAAUUGGAACGAUACAGAGAAGAUUAGCAUAGCCCCUGUGAAAGGAUGACACACAAAUUUGUGAAGCAUUCCAUAUUUUU